UCUGGGCCACAGAUGUUGACUUGGGAACUUGAAAAUGACAGUCUACACCCUUAUUAUUCUGCUAAAGUCAAAUGAAAUGUCCAGAUUCAACAACUAACUGGUAUAUGGUUAUUCAAGAGCCUCGUUUCUUAACUUCCCUGACGCGGUUUGUUGAUCACUGUCCAGAAGUGCAGUAUUGUCCAAACUUUCAGAAGCUUCUGCAGUCUGGUGCCUGAAUACUAGUCACCUUCUAUUUGAAAUACAAUUGCAUAUUAUCUCACUGCACAUUGAUGAGUUUUCAGUAGCACUGUGCUCACUGACAAAAGAAGUUAUUAGGCCAUGUUUAAAGAAACAGAAAAUACUUAAGCUGCCUGGAUACCUAUGCUGUCGUUGUAAAGUUGGGCCCUGGCAGGGAGUCUGAUCUGAUCUGUGCAAAACCCAGCUCUGUCUGCUAAAUCACUGGUGCUUCCACAAACUGGGAGUAUAGCUAGGGCUUGGGAAUGCGAAUUCAUCAGUAGGGAAGCGGAGACAGUCUAGGAUGUUCUCGGCAAGGAAUACAAAUGGUAUCACAACUUUAUGAGGGGACUAAGAGAUAGGUGAGCUGUUUGAAGUGGUGUAAGCCCAGUGGUCACCAACUUUUUUUUUUUAAUUCUUGUUCAGGUAUUAAUAAAAAUAACACAAAGUUCAUUUGCAUAAACUACCAUUUACCUCCAUAGACUGAAGAAUUCCAUGGGGGGGAAAAAAUCACAUUGCUAGUUGUUCUUCACAGGUUCUUUUUCUUACUUUCUUUAUAAUCCAAGAUUCUUCUCUUCAUCUGUCAAUUGCAUGUGGCCAUCGGUAUCAUUGUUGCCAGCCAAUGAUACUAAAACAAGAUGAGGCAUGUGGUAAAGCACCUUAAAGCCACAGGCUGUGCCCUCUACACUGACAGUACUGAUGAUGGUUACAGCCAUAACUUAGUAAAGAGCUAACACAAGAAUGUACUGUCUUAUUUGACUCACAAAAUAUGAAGAGGCAAGUAACAUCAUCAGUGUUUUAUUCAUGAGGAAGUUGCUGCAUGGAGAAGCUGAGCUGACCCCCUAAGGCUGCCCCCUCUUAAGAAAACCCAGUAGAACUGGGAUUGCUCCAAACCCACUCAUGCGCAUUGUAUCUUAACCCAGUUUAUUACGGGUGAGAGGAACAGCAUCAUAUUGGGCAAUUCUUGCCCAGCUUAUCUGAAUGGCAGAGAGAGGCCCAAGAGAACAGAGCUGGGAAAGAGAGACGACAGUGCAGGGGGCUUGCCUUCUCAGGACACAAACCAUACUUCGGUAUCAUAGUUUGUAUUUUUAUUUAAGGACUUGGGAUCUGUUUGUUGUGUCUACACUGUACUUCGAUUCUGAAGAUAUAUUAACUCACGGUAUUUCCAUUGCCUGUAUACACCUUUCUAUGCUGUGAAAUGACAGGAUGUCUGAUAACCUGUACUUGUGUCAGGGGUCAGAGGAGAGAAUGUUGCCUUCCUGAGCACACUUACCCAAGUUUGUUUCUAUUUCUUUGUUAAAGUUUGUUAAUAUUAGACAAGAUUCCCACCUACCCUCUUUCCCUUCACUGUUAGUGAUUACUAUGUCCUAGAGUCUUUAUGAGCCCUUUGGCUGAUGAGUAAAGUCUCUAUGGUAGAAUCAACACUACCAUUGUGAAAGUCUUCUGUGAACCUUGUCUACUGAGUAGGUUUCUUUUUCUCCUAAUGUAUGAGGACCCCAGCUGUGUGCCAUGUGCUGCGGAAGAGGCUACAGGUUGGAUGGGCAGUCUUCCCUCAUCUUGUAUUUUGAUGUACUGAGACAGCAUCGGGUGGUGUCUUUCAUUGUAAUAUAUGAGGUGUAGAGAGAGGCAUGCGCAGGGCAUUGGGGUUGAGUAGGAAAGUUACAUGGUGAGUUCUAUUAGAAGACAAGAAAAGAAAUACUGUUUUGACUCCCAUCAAACUCCCCUUUAUUAAACACAGACAGUGGCUCCCAAGUAGUAAUGUACAUAAGAAUUCUGUCCAGGUUCUAGCCAGAGAUUCUGUCUCAUUUGGUAUAGAGGAAAGUCUGAGGGUCUAGAUCUGAAUGAGUUCCCUAGGAAAUCCUAGCUGGGCAGUACUGGGAAAUAAUACUUUUGUUUCUUAUCUGCUGUUGCUGGCAGCCGAUUCUGUGCCCAUAGAUUAAGUCUUGAUGUGGUGGUAGGAAGGUUUGUAGUCUCUGGUAUCUAUGAGGAAGCAAGCCUCUAUCACAUUUUCUCCUUCUGAUCUCUCUCAGGUUGCUUAACACAAUUUCCAAAACUAUAAAACCGAGAUUUUAUAAAGUCAGAGGAAGGCCUUUUUAAAGGUGAGGAUGACAUUUUGGCAGCUUUGUUGAAUAAAUACUGAGGAUAUUAAUAUGUCCCAUAAUGCACCAACAUUUGUUUGCCGGGGGAAAUGAGGACAAUUUUGACAAGUGUACUGACACUGUACUCAAGUGUUGUGAGUGAUUAUUUCAAGCACAGCUAGACAUGUGUGGUGAUACUUCCAAAUAAUUUGAGUUUACCAAGAGAAAAACUGUAGUAGUAACGUAUUUUAUAAUUUAAUUUUUUGUGUUUAUACAUAGCUAUACUACAAUAACUUUAGCGAAAACAAUAUAGCAAUUCUGAGGAACUUUCGAGCUGAUAUGAAGGGGACAGCCUUUGCCUGAGCUGGCAGUGCUGGAGAUGUCCCAGCAACUUGGCUAGACUUAUACCUGAAUUCUGAAAUAAGCAAGUAUAUUGGUUCUGUUUCUCAGUGCUGGAGCUACGAUCUGUUAGAGUCUGAUAAGUGUUGUGACCUAGUCUUUUUCUAAAACCCAAGAGGUUCAUCACUACUCCGGGGCAUUGCUUCUCAAAAAUAAUGUACUUUUUAUAGGAAAACUCAAUCAGUGGAUCUUUUUAUUCGGUAUCCCUCCUCUUCCUCCCCAGUCCCUCCUCUCUUCCUUUCUUUGAGUUUUUGAGGCAAGAAGCUUCCUGAAUAGUCUAGUUUCUACGGAGCUUUCGUACUUAUUUUUCUAAUAAUAGGUGUAGCUGAGUGAUGAUGUUUAACUGCUCUGUGAGCAGAAUUCUCAACCAACCUGAAGAAACAUGCUGCCUAUGGGUGUUUCCUUUGGUCUCAACUGUGUCUGACCUGUUUGCUAGUGACUUUCACCCAUGAAUGGACUUUGCUCGUGUGCAUAGUAUGUCCAUGUACAUAGUAUGUCCAUGUGGUCAUCAGCAGUGCUGUGUUGUUAUCACAUAUUUAUAUGCACUUGGUCAAAACAGAAGCUGAUGAGUGUGUGAGCCAUCAUUUUGUAGAGUGAACGGCUGAACCCCCUUUGUGUCAUUGGAGUCACGUUGCGCGUCUGUUGCCUUUAAACUCUCAUACCUUCUUUUGUACUCUACACCGACUGUCGCGGUGCCUUUUUCCUUUUGUAUAAUUGUAUUACAUUAAAAAAUUGCUGACCUGUGUGUAAAAUGUUAAAACUACACCAGUCCAAGGAGAUUUUAAUGGCAGUCCAGUUUUCCAGAGAAUAAAUUUUUGUGUGCAUU
rnacentral:lncRNA from 1 species